AGAGUUUGAUCCUGGCUCAGGACAAACGCUGGCGGCGUGCCUAACACAUGCAAGUCGAACGCCCUGUGCCCUUAGGGGCUCAGGGAGUGGCGGACGGGUGAGUAUCACGUGGCUACCUAUCCCCCGGUGAGGAAUACCACUGAGAAAUCAGUGACAAUACCGCAUAGGCUCGGCAACGAGCAAAGCCUCCUGGUGAGGCG
rnacentral:rRNA from 1 species